rnacentral:lncRNA from 1 species
AUAUCAGAACGAUGCAGAGAGCAACAAUAUUAUAUAAUAAUCUAAGUGAUUCGGAAAAUCAAAUUUUAACUUAAAGAAACAACGUUUUCACGAUACUAAUUAAUUCUAUUUCUAGAAUAAGCAAAUUUCGAGAGGUGGAACUGUUCUGAUUUCGCUAGAUACUUUGCCUCGUACACAUCUAAUAGUUACCUGGAAAUUUUCAAAACAAAAAACA